AUUGAACGCUGGCGGCAGGCCUAACACAUGCAAGUCGAGCGGAGCGGCGGACGGGUGAGUAAUUCCUAGGAAUCUGCCUGGUAGUGGGGGAUAACGUCCGGAACCGGGUGCUAAUACCGCAUACUAUCAGAUUAGCCUAGGUCGGAUUAGCUAGUUGGUGGGGGAAAGGCCUACCAAGGCGACGAUCCGUAACUGGUCUGAGAGGAUGAUCAGUCACACUGGAGCUGAGAAACGGUCCAAGCUCCUACGGGAGGCAGCAAUGGAGAAUAAGGGGCAAUGGGCGAAGACCUGAUCCAGCCAUGCCGCGUAUGUGAAGAAGGUCUUCGGAUAGGAGAGCACUUUAAGUUGGGAGGCGUUACCAGCAGAGUAGGCACCGGCUGACUUCGUGCCAGCCGCCGCGGUAAUAC
rnacentral:rRNA from 1 species